CCUAGAGAAGAGGAUAACAGUUGGAAACGACUGGUAAAUACUCUAUAUGCCUGUAAGACAAAAAGUCUGCAAGGGAAAUAUUUAUAGCUCUAGGAUCGGCCUGUACGGUAUCAGCUAGUUGGUGAGGUAAUGGCUCACCAAGGCAAUGACGCCUAACUGGUUUGAGAGGAUGAUCAGUCACACUGGAACUGAGACACGGUCCAGACUCCUACGGGAGGCAGCAGUGGGGAAUAUUGCACAAUGGGGGAAACCCUGAUGCAGCAACGCCGCGUGGAGGAUGACACAUUUCGGUGCGUAAACUCCUUUUAUAUAGGAAGAUAAUGACGGUACUAUAUGAAUAAGCGCCGGCUAACUCCGUGCCAGCAGCCGCGGUAAUACGGAGGGCGCAAGCGUUACUCGGAAUCACUGGGCGUAAAGAGCGUGUAGGCGGGUUAAUAAGUUUGAAGUGAAAUCCUAUGGCUCAACCAUAGAACUGCUUUGAAAACUGUUAACCUAGAAUAUGGGAGAGGUAGAUGGAAUUUCUGGUGUAGGGGUAAAAUCCGUAGAGAUCAGAAGGAAUACCGAUUGGGAAGGCGAUCUACUGGAACAUUAUUGACGCUGAGACGCGAAAGCGUGGGGAGCAAACAGGAUUAGAUACCCUGGUAGUCCACGCCC
rnacentral:rRNA from 1 species